CAGUUUACUGCAAGCGAGUUGCCGUCCCUGCUGCUGAGACUGCCCCCCUAGUGUGGAAGCCGCUUCGCCAAGCACACCCACAAGAAGGCCCACACCACCGUCACAGGUUUCACCAAGUGAUGCUGAGCCUGGUCCGAGCGGCCUCCAAUUUUCCAAGGAGGGCAGCAGCGCGGAGCAGAUGCAAGAAACGCCAAAAAAGUGGGCGAAGAAAACGCAGCUCUGUGCACACCCUUCGCACCAAAAAG